UUGGAUCUAGAUGCGGAAAAACAGACCUUUGGACGAAAGUCGCAAAAGUGGCCAAACGUUAGUUCUGUUCUGUGGCUGCUGAGCUCCCGGUUCGGUUGGGUCUUCUUUCCUCCACACCCUGGAAGUGCUGCACGGGCACGUGAACGAGCCCAGGCUCUCCAGGCCUAUUUUCAGCAACCUAGCAGUUUAUUGGGCUUACGCACACCUAUUGUAUCUGGGUCACGGAGAUCCAACAGCCAGGCCCAAAUGGGUCAAGCUGGGUCAUCUUCGGAUAACAUUCGUGGAGGUGGCAUCUAUUUCAUCCCAACAUCUGGGUCAAACUCAGAUGUCUAUGACACGUACACAAAUGAGUUUGAAAGCACCAGAAUUUUUGGAGAGACACAGUUUAAAAAAGCUUCUAAUCUUUUUACCGGUGCAUCCGAGAAAUUAAAUAGAAUAAUUGAAUUUCGUCACACUUCCUAAACAAGGAGGUGGGAGUGAAACGGUUAAAACAUGUCCUGCUGCAAUGGAAUUUGCAUUUGCAGCUGGUACAACUGAUUGACCCGGUGCUUUUGACUUUACGCAAGGAGACACCUCCGGGAAUCCAUUUUGGAAGUUGGUGCGGAAUGUGCUUAGAACCCCAAGUAAAGUGCAAAAAGACUGUCAACAACCAAAGCCUAUCUUUUAACCUUCAAUCCCUGGCCCAUUAGGUCCGAUCCCUAACGCCUCUUCAUCUAUGGCAUCUGCUAUAGAAUGUGAAAGAAUGCAAACAACAAUAUCCAUUGGCAAUCUUGCUAAUGCAGAAACCAGUAAAGUUGUGGAUAUUAUACCCAGAAUCGCAGAUGGUGCUGAUAACACUAACAUAUUGUAAUAUGCAGGAAUCUUGUAUACCGAAUGCGAGAGAUACAGGAGUUGUGCAAAAAGACUGGUGUGAAGGUAAGACCGUAUUGGUCGGUACCUAAAUCUGUUCAUGCCCAUAGGCCCAGAAACCUGGUUUGUUUACUUACCGUGUAAUUUUAACGUGGUUUACUGGUGUUGCAUAAGGGGUAUUUUGGGUUGGGACAGGUCAAAAAGGCUGCACAAUCAGUGUAAUGGGAUGUUCUCAAGCUGGUACAACUACUGAAGGUCUGAGACAUUGCAGCGUCAACGUGGUUCUAUAGGGGAGUUAUACAGGAAUUAUGUUUUUUUUUUCUUGUGCAACCCAUCUUACUUCAGAAUAGAAAAUUAGGGUAAAGUUCUUGUA